GACGAACGCUGGCGGCGUGCCUAAUACAUGCAAGUCGAACGCAGUGGGGACGGGUGAGUAAAACGUGGGCAACCUCCCAUCAGAGGGGAUAACACUUGGAAACAGGUGCUAAGCCGAUACCGAUGGAUGGACCCGCGGUGCAUUAGCUAGUUGGGGGGGUAAAGGCGCACCAAGGCAACGAGGCGUAGCGGAUCUGAGAGGGCGACCGGCCACACUGGGACUGAGACACGGCCCAGACUCCUACGGGAGGCAGCAGUAGGGAAUUUUCGGCAAUGGGCGAAACCCUGAUCGAGCCACGCCGCGUGAGUGAAGAAGGUUUUCGGGUCGUAAAGCUCUGUUGGUAGAGAAGCGGUAUCUAAACAGAAAGCCACGGCUAACUACGUGCCAGCAGCCGCGGUAAUAC
rnacentral:rRNA from 1 species